CCUACGGGCGGCAGCAGUAGGGAAUAUUGCUCAAUGGGGGAAACCCUGAAGCAGCAACGCCGCGUGGAGGAUGAAGGUUUUCGGAUUGUAAACCCCUUUUGUCAGAGAAGAUAAUGACGGUAUCUAACGAAUAAGCACCGGCUAACUCCGUGCCAGCAGCCGCGGUAAUACGGAGGGUGCAAGCGUUACGCGGAAUCACUGGGCGUAAAGAGCGCGUAGGCGGGAGAGCAAGUCAGGGGUGAAAUCCUAGGGCUUAACCAUAGAACUGCAUUUGAAACUGUUAUUCUAGAGUAUAGGGGAGGUAGGUGGAAUUCUUGGUGUAGGGGUGAAAUCCGUAGAGAUCAAGAAGAAUACUCAUUGCGAAGGCAACCUACUAGAACGUAACUGACACUGAUGCGCGAAAGCGUGGGGAGCAAACAGGAUUAGAUACCCCUGUAGUC
rnacentral:rRNA from 1 species